rnacentral:rRNA from 1 species
UACGUAGGUGGCAAGCGUUGUUCGGAAUAACUGGGCGUAAAGGAUGCGUAGGCGGUUAAACAAGUUAUAUGUUAAAUAUAUAGGCUUAACCUGUAGAAAGCAUAUAAAACUGUUUAACUAGAGUGCAGGAGAGGUAAGUGGAAUUCCUAGUGUAGCGGUGAAAUGCGUAGAGAUUAGGAAGAACACCAGUGGCGAAGGCGACUUACUGGACUGUAACUGACGCCGAGGCAUGAGAGCAUGGGGAGCAAACAGG